rnacentral:lncRNA from 10 species
GAAAGCCCAAUUCCAUCUGGCCCCUGCAGGUUGGCUCAGCACUGGGGAAUCAGAGUCCCCUCCAUGACCAAGGCACCACUCCACUGACAGGCUCUGUUAAUCAGCUUGCUUGGCUGGCCUCCAACCAUAGGUCCAGGGGCUGAGACAAGGUCCUUUUGAGCUCCUAUGUGGGAGGCUCUGGAAAGCUUAGCAACACUUUCCAACAACUUUGCCAGGGUCACAUCUCCCAGGAAGAUCUCACUUCCCCACAGAAGCUCUUGGCCUGGCCUCCUGCAGUGCCACGCUCCGUGUAUUUGACAAGCUGAGUUGGACACUCCAUGUGGUAGAGUGUCAGUUUGUCAAAUACCCCAAGUGCGGCACAUGCUUACCAGCUCUAGGCCAGGGCAGAUGGGAUAUGACGAAUGGACUGCCAGCUGGAUACAAGGAUGCUCACCAAGCACCAAGUUCUCACAAGUUAUUUUAUGUGACUUUGCAGGAACUGAGGCAUUAUAUCUGAGGACACCAGGGGAAAAGUGUGGCAUCUCAGGGAAAUACAGCCCUGGGCUGUGUCUACACACACCAUGAGAGUGCUGAUGGGGGCGCAAUAGUCUUGAAAAUGUAUAAAGUGUCCAGGAAUGGAAGUGCUCUUUGAUUCAUUAUUAUUUUCUUCCUUCAUAUUCCCCUCCCAGAGUCUCCUAUCUAGGACAUCAGCAUUCUCACACAAGCCUAAUGGCUUAUCUGAGUAAGCAGGGCUUAGAAAUUCACUUUCUUGAUACUCAGUCUUGCCUUCUAAACACUCCUUGAUCUUGCCUACCUCUCCCCUUUUCCACAUGUCUUUUCCUGUAGGAACACUUUCUCCAUUUAUUCCUGCCUAUCCAAUUCUUCCCUAUAUUUCCUGGACCAGCUAAAGUCCAGUGUUUCCAGAGACUUUUGAAAGUCAACUUACACUUUUUCCUUCUUCAUUCACAAAGCUCUUCUUCCCUGGGCCCUGGUAUGUAUGCCUUUCUCUCCUACUGUCUAAUAGCACCUCGUAAAUUGUCAAUGAACUUUUCUAAGGGGUAUUCUUGAAUUCCCAACUAGAUUGUGAGCUUCUGGAAGACAAGGCUAUGUCUUUGAUUGUUGUCUCCCCUACCACAGCCCAGUACUUUAGUUACAGAAAAUAAUAAAUAUUUACUGAUUGAUUGACUUUCCUCUUGUCCACUAGCUUUAGGUUUGGGGGCCAAAUUCUACCCUGGAUUUUGAAAAAUUCAAACUGUGAACACCACAAUGUUAUAGAGCAUAUGAGGUAGUAGCCAGCAUGAAGGAUGUUUUCUUCCUGAGAAACAGUGUCAAGGGCUGGAGGAAGAGGGCAAAAUAGCAGACUCAGAGGGCAAAUAAAUUUUGGUAUUACUUGGUCACACAAGGUUAUACAGGUGUUUUCUUGUAGGAUUUUUCAGAGCCUUUAAUAGUCUAAUGUUGCAUUGAGAAUCUCAAAGAGGAAACCAUAGAAUGAGGCAUUUGCCAUACCUAUCUGAUCAUGAAUUUUCUUUUCCCCCACAGCCUUCUCCUGUGUCAAUGUCCAAUGAAGCACGAUUUGGGAAACUGUCCUAGAGAAACUUUAUACCUUCCCGCUCUUCUGGAGAUCUUUUCCUCUUUUCAUUCAUCUACUUUCCCCAACCAGCCAUCUGCCUAAGAAAGGUCACAUGUUAUCAUCUCAUUUUUGUUUAGCCUCUGCAGCUGUGGACUAUCUUUAUUACAUAGGAAUUCUUUACUAGCUUGUCCUGUAUUUAAAAAUAUUCUAAGUUUUGAGGCAAAGAAGAUCCAGAUGCUGCAAUAAAUAUAUGCACUGAGGAGUUC